rnacentral:rRNA from 1 species
UUUUGCAUAUCCAAAAAGCGGAGGAAAAGAAACCAACAGGGAUUGCCUCAGUAACGGCGAGUGAAGCGGCAACAGCUCAAAUUUGAAAUCUGGCCUCCCGGGGUCCGAGUUGUAAUUUGUAGAGGAUGUUUUGGGUACCGCCCCGGUUUAAAUUUCUUGGAACAGAAUGUCAGAGAGGGUGAGAAUCCCGUCUUGGACCGGUGGUAGGGCCUGUGUAAAACUCCUUCGACGAGUCGAGUUGUUUGGGAAUGCAGCUCAAAAUGGGUGGUAAAUUUCAUCUAAAGCUAAAUAUUGGCCAGAGACCGAUAGCGCACAAGUAGAGUGAUCGAAAGAUGAAAAGAACUUUGAAAAGAGAGUUAAACAGUAUGUGAAAUUGUUGAAAGGGAAGCGCUUGCAACCAGACUUGAGCGCGACGGUUCCCCUAGCCUUUUGGCUAGGUUACUCCGUCGUGUCCAGGCCAACAUCGGUUCUGAGGGUCGGUCAAAGGCUCUGGGAAUGUAUCUACCCACGGGUAGACUUAUAGACCAGGGUGUCAUGCGACCUCUCGGGACCGAGGAACGCGCUUCGGCUCGGAUGUUGGCGUAAUGGUUGUCAGCGACCCGUCUUGAACCCACGGACCAAAA